CGCUAUCAUCCUACGGGAGGCAGCAGUGGGGAAUAUUGCACAAUGGGCGCAAGCCUGAUGCAGCCAUGCCGCGUGUAUGAAGAAGGCCUUCGGGUUGUAAAGUACUUUCAGCAGUGAGGAAGGCAGGUACGUUAAUAGCGUGCUUGUUUGACGUUAGCUGCAGAAGAAGCACCGGCUAACUCCGUGCCAGCAGCCGCGGUAAUACGGAGGGUGCGAGCGUUAAUCGGAAUUACUGGGCGUAAAGCGCAUGCAGGUGGUUUGUUAAGUCAGAUGUGAAAGCCCGGGGCUCAACCUCGGAAUUGCAUUUGAAACUGGCAGACUAGAGUACUGUAGAGGGGGUAGAAUUUCAGGUGUAGCGGUGAAAAUGCGUAGAGAUCUGAAGGAAUACCGGUGGCGAAGGCGGCCCCCUGGACAGAUACUGACACUCAGAUGCGAAAGCGUGGGGAGCAAACAGGAUUAGAUACCCUGGUAG
rnacentral:rRNA from 1 species